CUCUAGGAUCCCAGGCCUCGCCUAUGGCCGCCUAUCCCCUUCCUCCUCCUUCCUGUUCCAUCGCACAGUGCUGCAGCUGCUGCUAAUCCUUAACCUUUCGACUACUAGUCGGAGUCCUCGGCUCGACGCUGCUCGUAGUCGUAGCUCCAGCUGCUGCUGCGUGGACGGAGGAGGGUGGUUCCUGUUGCAGGCUCGCAAGUUGCAACUUGCAGUGUUGCACUGCUUCAGCAGCAGCUGCCUCAUUGCGUGCUGCAGUUAUUGCUACCGCUACUGUAUACGUAGAGACCGAGACGUCUUGCCAUUUGCUAAGCUCUGAUGGAGAGGAUGCAACUGCAAGGGCCCAUCGCCUCUUCGCUGUGGACGGACAAACAGCAGGUGGUGGCCAGCACCAGCGCCGCAAUGGCGGCGCAGAUGCCCUUCCUGGCGUUGCUCCAGGGCGCAGGCGUCGUGGUGGAGGGGGCGGAGACGGAGCAGCAGCAGUACGAGCACGAGCACGACGGGCGCAAGCGGCAGGCCUUGGCGCGCGCCGUCUCCAAACUCGACCUGCUCGAGAGCUGUCUCACGCAGGCGGCGGCUCCCGCGGCGGCGGCGUGUGCGCCAGUGGCCAGCAGGACGACCGAGAGGCGGAUGAAGCGGCCGAGGACCCGCGCGCGAGCCGCGCCACCGCCGGAGAAGCGCAGGAAGCCCGAGGAGGCCGAGAGCCAGCGGAUGACGCACAUCGCCGUGGAGCGCAACCGGCGGCGCCUCAUGAACGACCACCUGGCCUCGCUCCGCUCACUCAUCCCCUCCAGCUAUAUCCCCCGCGUGAGCCAUGCAAUGCAAAGCCCAUGCAUGCAUGCUGCGUUCCGUUUCGAUCUGACGACGCAACGGUUACAUGCAAUGCAAUGCAGGGCGACCAGGCUACGGUGGUGGGCGGUGCGAUCGACUACGUGAAGCAGCUGGAGCAGCAGCUAGUGGCGCUGCAGGCGGCCGCGGGCGCGCGGCGCGGCAGCAGUGUCGUGUCGGACGACGGCGUGUUCCUCGUGUCCCCGCAGUACGCGAGCUACUCGGGGUCGCGCGGCGGCGGCGGGCUCGGCGUGGACGUGGAGGCGACGGGCGCGGUGGGCGGGCACGUGCGCGUGCGCGUCGCGGGGAGGCGGUGGUGGCCCGGCCGGCUCGUGCGCGCCGUCGCCGCGCUGGAGGGCCUCCGCCUCGCGGUCUUGCACCUCGCCGUCACCUCCGUCGGGCGUGACGCCGUCGUGUGCUGCUUCAACCUCAAGAUGGAGGAAGGGUGCGAGGUGGCGACGGCGGACGAGGUGGCGACGGUGGUGCACCAGAUCUUCGCCUACUCCGCCGCCGGCGCAUGCUGCUGACGACGACGACUGACUGCGCCCCGCGCGCCGACGCCAGCGGCCGUGGAGCACGGGACGGGGACGGUAAGUCAAAGCCGCAGAGGCGGGCGGACAUGACGGCAUGUACACGAAACACGACGACGAACGCGCGCGCAGAGGCGGAGAGGACGACGUACGGCCGGCCGGCCCGGGCCACCAAGAGAGAAGGGCAUGCGUACGCAGAGGCGUGGAUCAGCGGCAGCGCUAGGCCGGGGACCAAGCAAGCAACCAUGGCAAGUGAUGUGCUUGCGGUGCCAUGCCAUGGCAACGGCUGCACUGCGUGCCGUGGUCCAGCGCAGCGCAGCGCCGGGUGGAGAGGAGCAGGAGACCAUCUACUGUAACUUGACUAGUGUUUACUUACUUGGCUGGGUGGCUGGCAGGACCAGUACUCCGGUGGUGAAGGGUACUGACGACUGUAGCUGGACUGGACUGAAGGCUGAAGAGAGCGUGGUACAGUACAGUACAGUAGCAGUGUUUGAAUAGCAUGGCUAUAUAUCUAUGUAGUUUUUUC